ACUGCAAUCCUGUAUCCACUUACCUGGAAGUAAAUCACACUAAACUCAAUGGGAUAGGAUUGCACUGUUAUGGCGUUUAGGAUUUCAGUCCAAAACAUCUUGAGCUAUUGAUGGACAUGAACCUUUCAGCUGUGUACCUACCCUGCUUGAGCCUAUUGAUGCAUCCAGGUUUAAAAAGGCAAAGGAAUUCUGAAUGGCAAAUUCAAGAGUUGUGACCACCACCAGCAACUUAUCAUGAGCAGAGCCAACUCUACCAAAGUUCAGGCCCAGCUAGUAAUGGGCUCACUGCCAGUCUGCCCCCCUUUCUGAAGCAAACCUUCCCUUGCAACGGAGAGGACCAAUGGCCAUCCUUAUCUCUGGUCCUGCUCUAUCCCAUCCUCAAGCACGUUUACAUAGCUGGAAGGAGUCCUUGAACUGCAAUAGCACCUCUUGCUUUCCUGGACAGAGGAUGGAGAGGUGUGUGGGUGUCGAAACCAAUGGCUUUUAGAUUGCUGAAAUGUCAUCUACAGCAUGAAGGAAGAGCAUCGGAUAAGUCAAAGUCAUCGUUGCCUAUGAAAAGAACACAAAAGAAAGACCUUGCAACAUCCAAAACUUCGACUCACUUUCUCCCCAGAAUCAUUACCUGCCAAGGAUUCUACCCUGCUAUAACAGCAUGUAGCCUGAGAUAUCGUAUCCUCACACCUGUUCCCAAAGGAAUAAAAAUGUUUUCAACAGUGCCAUGAGGGAGAGCCCUGCAAGAACAACUGCUUGUUACCAAUAAACCAUGAGAAGCCAGCAACCCUGGAUUAUAUGCGAAUGUGGCCAUUUUGGACUUCACUUUUGUCAAACGUUGUGCUCCCCCCUGAAUGUGAGUACGUAAAUCGAAGUUUGAUGCCAUUAAUAAUAGUUCUAUCCCACAACACUCGCACCAGAACACAUGCAGCAAAGAUAAAGGCAUAGACACAGAUGCUGCCGUUCACUAU